AUACCCGCUCCGCGAGUGGUGGGGACUUUUACUGGGCUUAAAGCGCCCGUAGCCGGCUGGGUGUGUCCUCCGUUAAAUCCACAGGCCUAACCUGUGGGCUGCGGGGGAUACUACCCGGCUUGGGGGUGGGAGAGGGCGGCGGUAUUCCCGGGGUAGGGGUAAAAUCCACUGAUCCCGGGAGGACCACCAGUGGCGAAGGCGGCCGCCCAGAACACGCCCGACGGUGAGGGGCGAAAGCUGGGGGAGCAAACGGGAUUAGAAACCCCGGUAGUCC
rnacentral:rRNA from 1 species